rnacentral:rRNA from 1 species
UACGGAGGGUGCAAGCGUUAUCCGGAUUUACUGGGUUUAAAGGGUGUGUAGGCGGGUCUUUAAGUCAGUGGUGAAAUCUCCGAGCUCAACUUGGAAACUGCCAUUGAUACUAUUGAUCUUGAAUUUUGUUGAGGUAGGCGGAAUAAGUCAUGUAGCGGUAGAAAUGACAUAGAUAUGACUUAGAACACCAAUUGCGAAGGCAGCUUGCUAAACAAAUAUUGACGCUGAGGCACGAAAGCGUGGGGAUCAAACAGG